GUUCAGGACUAAACUGGGGAACUCCUUUCACCAAAGAGUAUAUCACUAAACCAUCAAAAUGCCUUCAUGACACCUCAUAUGAACUUGUGAUGUGUUCUGUCCGUUUUCUUUUGUAGCAGAAUGAUAUUUUCCUGACUAUAAAAUUAGGGAUUUUUUUCACUAUAUACAAUAGCCAAACAAAGCCCCCAACAAUAAAGGGCAAAUUUCAUUAAUAUACAAUAAACAAGUUUGUUUAUCAAAAAUAUAGCCAAGUUUUCAUUUAUCAAAAAAGUAGCCAAAAAUUAGAGAUACUAUAAAGCCCAAAAAUAGCCCAAUUCCCUUAUUCAAAAGGCAAUGGCAUAAUCUGAUUCUCUCUAGCGAGCAAACAAUGGCUUCUCUCAGAUUUCGCCGAGGAUAUCUCAAAUUUGUCGGAAAAGCAUCAAUUUCACCGGUGAUUCAUUGUCAAUUCUUCAAUUUUGUCGGUGAUUUAGUAAUUUCUGUUUUGAUUUUAUCAAUUUCUCUAUUAAUUCUUCAAUUUUGAUGGACUGUUUCACCAUUCUGAUUCAACACAACGAGGAGUGGGACAACAACAACAACAAGCCUAGUAUAGUCCACCAUGUGAGGAGUGGGAGAUUAACAAUAAAUACGUCAAUUAUGUUGUUGAUGCUGUUAUCAAUUCUGAUUGAAAUUUUGAAGAUCUAACUACUGUUGUUUCUACACAAAUUGGUGUAGAUUCCGCUGUAUACUUGAUGGAGAUCAAAUAUGUCCUCACUGAUCAGAUUCCAGCUAUAUUGAUACACAAUAACAUGAGUGUUAGGGUUUAUAUGGAAUUGAAACGAAAAAAUUCAAAUCUAUCUUCAUAUCCACUUUGUGUCAUGCUAAAAGGAAUUUUUAUGGAGCACUUCAACAGUUUGAUUGCAGUUGCUAGUAUACAAAAAAUAUACAAUGCUGAUACAAUUCAAAUGCUUGAGGCUAGAAUGAUAGAUUGUGGUGAAGUAGUGGGAGAGAAGGAAAAUCAUAUUAUUGAUAAUUGCUUUCACAUGGAAGUUGAGAAACGACAGAUCUAUAAGGAUAAGAAGACGAUUGUCAAAGUUUUGAAGAACUAUGCUAUUCGAAAUUAGUUUCGAUUUAGGGUCAAAAGAUCAAGUUCAACAAGGUAUGACCUUCGCUGUAUUGAUGAAAAUUGCAAUUGGUCGUUCAAAUCUUCAAGCAUAAACAAGUUUGAUCUAUUCAAAGUUCGAUGUUUCAAUAAACUUCACUCUUGCAAUGUGCUCGAAUUAUAUAUGACACAAGUCAAGCUAAUUCAAUCAUUAUUGCAAGUUUGGUGAUGGAGAAACUUGAUGAUCCUAAGACUGUCUAUACACCUAAUGAUAUCAUAAACGACAUUCAAAAGGAUUAUUUUGUUGAGCUGACUUAUAUGCAAGCAUAGAGGGCAAGACAACAAGCAAUGGAACUGAUAAGAGGGAACCCUGCUGGAUCGUAUUGUAAGUUGUCGAUAUACUUAUAUAUGAUUGCGCAUACAAAUUUAGGAUCAGUAACAAGGCUGCAUAAAUCAGAGGAUGGACGCUUUCUAUAUUGCACUUGAUGCAUCGAUCAAAGGAUGAGAUUAUUGCAGACCUAUAAUGGUUGUAGAUGGAAGCUUUUUGAAGGCAACAUAUAGAGGGACCAUACUUAUUGCUUCAACACAGGAUGUUGAUGGUAAUGUUGUAUAAGGGUGUAUAAGAAUUGUAUAAUGUUUGUAUAGUCUAGUAUAUGCUGAAUUUUCAGAUUCAAGUUUUUAUAUUAACUGCAUACUUGUUGUAUAAGGGUGUAUAGGAAUUGUAUAAUGUAUGUAUAGUCGAGUAUAUGUGUGUAUAUGCUAAAUUUUCAGAUUCAAAUUUUUAUAUUAACUAUAUACUUUCUGUAUAAGGGUGUAUAUGAGUUGUAUAAUUCUGUAUAGUUGAGUAUAUGUGUGUAUAUGCUGGUUUGAAGAUUUUAGUUGGUAUAUAAGAGUGUAUAUGAAUUGUUUGGUG